rnacentral:rRNA from 1 species
UGCUGGAGGUAUCAGAAGUGCGAAUGCUGACAUAAGUAACGAUAAAGCGGGUGAAAAGCCCGCUCGCCGGAAGACCAAGGGUUCCUGUCCAACGUUAAUCGGGGCAGGGUGAGUCGACCCCUAAGGCGAGGCCGAAAGGCGUAGUCGAUGGACAACAGGUAGAAAUUCCUGUACUACAAGAUUGUGAUUGAGAGAAGUACUGACGCAGAAGGAAAAGUCGAGCGUGUGAAUGGUAGAGCACGUCCAAGUAACAA